rnacentral:rRNA from 1 species
UGCGUAGAUGGAUGUUUAAGUCGGAUGUGAAAUCCCCGGGCUCAACCUGGGAAUUGCAUUCGAUACUGGAUGUCUAGAGUAUGGUAGAGGAAAGUGGAAUUCCCGGUGUAGCGGUGAAAUGCGUAGAUAUCGGGAAGAACAUCAAGGCGAAGGCAGCUUUCUGGACCAAUACUGACAUUGAGGCACGAAAGCGUGGGGAGCAAACAG